rnacentral:lncRNA from 1 species
AAGAGGAUUGAUAAUUGCUCCAUAUGAGACACUAAAUUGGAACUGUAGAGAAUCAGGGAAUCCUUUUACAUUUAUUUUGUAGUUAAUUUGACAGUAGAUCUGUCUCCCCAACUUAAUCAUAAAGUGAAAGAUGAUUUUUAUUUACCAUUUUCUUUCCAGCAUCUACAAUAUUGUCUGUCUCUUAGUAGACUUUCAAAGUAUAUUUGAUACAUUAAUACAUGAAUAAAAACAGAGGAGGUUAUAGUAGAAUACUUUAGCCUAAUCCUACUAAAGACCAUAGUAAGUAAUAAGUCAAAUAGCCUGAAUAUUAUAUAUUACUUACAUCUAAUGGUGUUGAGGAUCACACAAAUUAGACAAUAAUAAUUGGGAUAGCCUAACAUAGCAACUUUGAAUUUAUCGCCUUCUGUUACUCUACAAUAGAUAAACCAGUUUCCAUUUCUAAAUAUGGUAUCUUCAAUCUUUAAUUCUAGUGAAUGCUUUAUCAUCUUUAAUCCUGCUGAAUGUUUGUAUAUCUAUUGUAGAUGUCUUAAGUAACU